AUUGCAUACAACCAAAACUCUGGAUUCGUAGGCAUAUUAUGCUCAGGUUGUUGUUUGCUUCAUCCUGAGAGACCACUUAACUGCUUCCAAGAAUUUUUCAUUCCCAUGUGCAUCUGUCCAGGGAUUAGAGGAGAAAGUGUCAAAUAAUAGCAUCAGAGCAUGACAUGUCAAUGAGUUAAGUCCAUGCACUGAUGAUGGUUUGAUAUGGAUGCUCGACGGUGGGAAAGAACAGUAAAGAUCGGUACUACUUGAGAAUAGAGUCAUCAUCCUUAUUGUUACAUAACCCAGAUUGUCUAUGGCAGUGAGCGGCGGAAGGUGCAGGCGGCGGCUUACGGAAGAGUCGGGGACCGCCAUGGCGAUGGUGGCAAACGGACGCGGCGGGUGCUGGCAGACCCGGACUUGGCCAAAGCCGGGAUGGCGGCUGUUGGGUCCGUGCGGCGCCGGCUGGCGGCGGAGCUUGGUGUGGCGAACACGGCCGUUGCGGCCCGCAGUCGGCCACGCUUACCUCCGGCAGGCGCCGGCUGAUGGCAGAGGCAGGGGCAGCGGGCGGCGGUUUUUGGAGGGGACCGACACGGUGGAGCCGGCCGCUGCGGUCGGCCAACGUGACGGCUGCCAACAUAGGUCGGGCCGGCAGACCUCGGUCCAAUCGUCGCCAGACCUCGUGUCGACAUGAAUCAGACCUUGGGGUAGCGCAGAUCUACACGGCGGACUCCAAUCCGUCAUUGCCCUCUUGGUUCUUGCAUGCGGAGUUGAUGAAAGUGUUGCAGGCGAGGCGGCGGGAGAAGAUAUGGCGAUGCAGAGGCCCGGUUGAUCACCACCACCUCAGAAGCCACCAGCAACCGCGGAGCGGCCACCCUUGCAUCGGCACUGUCGCUCCACCGUCUUCUUUGAUUUGCUUUUUAUGCUUCUUCUUUCUCUUUUCUAUAAUGUUUGAUUC